rnacentral:rRNA from 1 species
AUGUCGGCCAACUGCGAUAGGGAGCGGGAGGAGGCGAGGGAGCUCGCCAAGUACGAGGAGGACUGCAAGGAGUACAAGGUGACCCUGUACCUGCUCGCCAUGGCCGUCUCGGUCGCCUUGGCGGGCCUCAUCGCCGGCUUCCUCGUCCCGCGCACGCCCCAGUGGUACAGCCUCUACUGCUGGCAGACCGCUCUGGUCUUCUUCUUCUCCUCCGCGAUCAUGUUCGGGUUUCACACACGGAAGUUCGGCUUGUCCGGUUUCCCCCAGAGGCCGGAUCGCCAAGCCCAGCUCGGCGGUGGAGGAGACGGCCGCUGUUGA